rnacentral:rRNA from 1 species
AACGAACGUUGGCGGCGUGGAUUAGGCAUGCAAGUCGAACGAAUCCCCGUGGGGGUAACUCCGCGGGGGGAAGUGGCGAAAGGGGCAGUAAGGCGUGGCUAACCUACCCCGGGGAUGGGGAUAGCCCUCCUAACGGAGGGGUAAUACCUGGCGAUUCGGCGGGGGGGCAUCUCCCUGCCGGGAAAUGAAUUUCGCCUCGGGAGGGGGUCACGUGCUAUUACCUGGUUGGCGGGGUAACGGCCCACCAAGGCGGUGAUCGGUAGCGGGUCUGAGAGGA